rnacentral:rRNA from 1 species
AGUGGAUGGGGAGCAACCUAGUUGUGCCUGUGUAAAGGUAGUGCCAAGAAAAGCGAUGAUCAUGUCGAAAAUCAAUUCCCGGUACCCGAAACCGACACAGGUGGGCAAGUAGAGAAUACUAAGGGGCGCGAGGUAACUCUCUCCAAGGAACUCGGCAAAAUGACCCCGUAACUUAGGGAGAAGGGGUGCCACCGAGAGGUGGUCGCAGUGAAGAGGCCCAGGCGACUGUUUAGCAAAAACAUAGGUCUCUGCAAACUCGAAAGAGGAGGUAUAGGGGCUGACGCCUGCCCAGUGCCGGAAGGUUAAAGAAGUUGGUCAGUUUUAGGAUGAAGCUAGCGACUGAAGCCCCGGUGAACGGCGGCCGUAACUAUAACGGUCCUAAGGUAGCGAAAUUCCUUGUCGGGUAAGUUCCGACCCGCACGAAAGGCGUAACGAUCUGGGCGCUGUCUCGGAGAGAGGCUCGGCGAAAUAGGAUUGUCUGUGAAGAUACGGACUACCUGCAUUUGGACAGAAAGACCCUAUGAAGCUUUACUAUAGCUUGGAAUUGUGUUCGGGCUUCCUGUGCGCAGGAUAGGUGGGAGGCGUAGAAGGUAUUCUUGUGGGGAUACUGGAGCCAACGGUGAGAUACCACUCUCAGGAGGCUAGAAUUCUGACUUAAUUAAGGACAGUUUCAGGUGGGUAGUUUGACUGGGGCGGUCGCCUCCAAAAAGGUAACGGAGGCGUACAAAGGUUCCCUCAGACUGGUUGGAAAUCAGUCGAAGAGUGCAAAGGCAGAAGGGAGCUUGACUGCGAGAAGUACAGUUCGAGCAGGGUGGAAACACGGUCUUAGUGAUCCGACGGUGCUGUGUGGAAGGGCCGUCGCUCAACGGAUAAAAGUUACUCUAGGAUAACAGGCUGAUCUCCCCCAAGAGUUCACAUCGACGGGGAGGUUUGGCACCUCGAUGUCGGCUCAUCGCAACCUGGGGCGGAAGUACGUCCCAAGGGUUGGGCUGUUCGCCCAUUAAAGCGGUACGUGAGCUGGGUUCAGAACGUCGUGAGACAGUUCGGUCCAUAUCCGAUGUAGGCGUGAGAAUAUUGAGAGGAGCCUUCCUUAGUACGAGAGGACCGGGAAGGACGCACCGCUGGUGUACCUGUUAUGAUGCCAAUUGUAAACGCAGGGUAGCCAAGUGCGGAGAGGAUAACCGCUGAAAGCAUCUAAGUGGGAAGCCCACCUCAAGAUGAGUAUUCUGGUGUAAGGUCACGGGAAGACGACCCGUAAAUAGGCACGAGGUGGAAGUGCAGAGAUGUACGAAGCCGAAGUGUACUAAUAGACCGUCGGCUUGAC